GUGGGGAAUAUUGGACAAUGGAGGCAACUCUGACGCAGCCAUGCCGCGUGCAGGAAGAAGGCGCUACGCGUUGUAAACUGCUUUUAACCGGGAAGAAACCCCAGGACGUGUCCUGGGUUGACGGUACCGGAGGAAUAAGCACCGGCUAACUUCGUGCCAGCAGCCGCGGUAAUACGAAGGGUGCAAGCGUUAUCCGGAUUCAUUGGGUUUAAAGGGUGCGUAGGCGGAGCGUUAAGUCAGUGGUGAAAUCCUGCAGCUUAACUGUAGACUUGCCAUUGAUACUGGCGCUCUUGAGUGCGCUUGAAGUGGGUGGAAUGUGCCGUGUAGCGGUGAAAUGCUUAGAUAUGGCACAGAACACCAAUUGCGAAGGCAGCUCACUAAGGCGAUACUGACGCUGAGGCACGAAAGCGUGGGGAUCGAACAGGAUUAGAAACCCCGGAGUCC
rnacentral:rRNA from 1 species